ACUCAAAUGAAUAGACGGGGGCUCACACAAGCGGUGGAGCAUGUUGCUUAAUUCGAUGCAACGCGAAGAACCUUACCUGGGCUUGACAUGGCCGGAUUAGUUCCCGGAAACGGGGAUGACACCCGCAAGGGUGGAACGGUCACAGGUGCUGCAUGGCUGUCGUCAGCUCGUGCUGUGAAGUGUCGGGUUAAGUCCCUUAACGAGCGCAACCCCUGUCGUUAGUUGCUCGGCGCAAGCCAGUACUCUAGCGAGACUGCCGCUGUAAAGCGGAGGAAGGUGGGGAUGACGUCAAGUCCUCAUGGCCCUUACGUCCAGGGUUGCAAACGUGCUACAAUGGCGCGCACAGAGCGAUGCAAGAGCGCAAGCUGGAGCAAAUCGCAAAAAACGCGCCCCAGUUCGGAUUGCAGGCUGCAACUCGCCUGCAUGAAGUCGGAAUCGCUAGUAAUCGGAGAUCAGCUACGCUCCGGUGAAUACGUUCCUGAGCCUUGCACACACCGCCCGU
rnacentral:rRNA from 1 species